UGGGGAAUUUUGCGCAAUGGGGGAAACCCUGACGCAGCAACGCCGCGUGAGUGAUGAAGGCUUUCGGGUCGUAAAGCUCUGUCUAGAGGGAAGAAAUGAUAAUCGGUUAAUACCCGGUUUUCUUGACGGUACCUCUGAAGGAAGCACCGGCUAACUCCGUGCCAGCAGCCGCGGUAAUACGGAGGGUGCAAGCGUUGUUCGGAUUUAUUGGGCGUAAAGCGCGUGUAGGCGGUUUGUUAAGUCUGAUGUGAAAGCCCUGGGCUCAACCUGGGAAGUGCAUUGGAAACUGGCAGACUUGAAUACGGGAGAGGGUAGUGGAAUUCCUAGUGUAGGAGUGAAAUCCGUAGAUAUUAGGAGGAACACCGGUGGCGAAGGCGGCUACCUGGACCGAUAUUGACGC
rnacentral:rRNA from 1 species